rnacentral:rRNA from 1 species
UACGAAGGGUGCAAGCGUUACUCGGAAUUACUGGGCGUAAAGCGUGCGUAGGUGGUUCGUUAAGUCUGAUGUGAAAGCCCUGGGCUCAACCUGGGAAUGGCAUUGGAUACUGGCGACCUAGAGUGCGGUAGAGGGUGGCGGAAUUCCAGGUGUAGCGGUGAAAUGCGUAGAUAUCUGGAGGAAAACCGGUGGCGAAGGCGGAAUCCUGGGCCAACACUGACGCUGAGUGAGCGAAAGCCAGGGGAGCAAACGGG